AACGAAGAAUGUGGGUAAUUAGUCGUUAAAACGAGACGAAACGGGAUAUUUAACGACUAACGGGUUAAUAUCUUAAAUAUCUAAGGCUACCCCACCAAAACCACCCCCCAAACCACCCAACACCCCUUUAUCUACCUCACUCACGGCUGAAUUCAGCCAACACACUCCAAUCAUCUUUGCUCUCUCACACACACAACACCCAAAACACCUACUUAUCACGCCAAACACCAUUUUUAGCUUGGACGGAGGUUUCAAGCUCCGAUUUGAGCACCGAGACGAGCACCGAUCAUCUUUUCGAUCACGUAUCUAAGUAGGUCCUUUUGGGAAGUAACGACUUGAGGGAGAGAGUGACGUUACUCAUUGAUACAGAGACACAACGAGGUUGAGCUGAUGUGAUGAUGGUGCUGCAAUGAGCGGAGUCUCCAGGGUUGUUAAUAAAUAGUUAACCUGUCUAGAAUAUGUCUUCAUACAUAUGUCUAGCUACUUUCCGCUGCAAGAUGUUGUUGAUGUUAUAGUAUGUUAUGUCAUACUUUGAGUCUUAAGAGAAUGGUUUCAUAUGAUGUAUAACUUGAUUAAUGAUAUUAAUUAAGUUUUAUGUUGUCUUUCA